CCAUUUUGGAUUGUUAUCAAUAAAAUAUAGGGUAUAAAAUAAAAUAAUCCCAGAAAAAUAAUUAAAAUGGCCUUAUUACAACCCAAAACCAAAUAAUAAUAUUAAUUAAGAUAAAACUUAUAAAAAAAUAAACCGGUUACUUAUUGCAAUUAAGAGAAACAGAAACAGUAGUGUGGCCAUCUUCGAGUCCCUCGCAGCUCCAAACCAUCUAAGCUUAGGGAUUAGCUGUUAUGGGUUGAAGUUGAAACAUUUCCAAAAUCAAUCACCUACGAUAACCACCACCUAUCACUCAAACUUAACUAAUCCAAUAUCAAUAUAUGUAAAUCCUAAGCACAUCAGUCAUACAGAACAUAAGGGCAUAUUCGUCAGUUUACCAUAUAGGGGUAUUACGGUCACUUUACACUACAGGGGCUUUACGAUCUUUUUACCUAUUAGGGGUAUUUUAGUCAUUUCAUCCUACAAGGGUGUUUUGGUAAAUCUACAAACCAAGGGUAUUUCAGUAAUUUUGUAAACCAAUGGUAUUUCUAUAAUUUUUAGAAAGUCAAGGGUAUUUCUGUAAUUUUGUAAAUCAGGGGUAUUUUGGUAAUUUUACAAAUUGAGGGUAUUUCGGUAAUUUCACAAACCAGUGGUAUUUUGGUAAUUUUAUAAACUAGGGGUAUUUUGGUAAUUCUACCCUAUCGGGGUAUUUCAGUAAUUUCACAAUCGAGGGUAAAAUGGUAAUUUUGUAAAUCAAGGGUAAAACAGUAAUUCUGUAAAUCAAUGGUAAAAAGUAAUUCUAUAAAUCGAGGGUACUUUGGUAAUUUUACAAGUCGAGGGCAUUUCUGUAAUUGGUAAACUAAAGUAUUCUAAACAGGGAUAACAAUACGAAUGGCCUAAAGCCCAUUCUCAGCCCAAAUGGGCCCACACGCUCGUGUGGCCCUUUUAGCCCAAAUCUAGCCACAAAUAUGAGAUUCACCUAGCCUAGUCCAAUAUUUACUACACAAUCAAACAACUUAUCCAAUUGGGCCUGUAGGCCCAUUGGGCCCACAUGACCCCUUUCGGCCUAUCACAGCCCGAAGUAGCCAUCCUACAGCUAGAAUAGUGAGAAAUACACACCUGAUAGGAGAUUGGAGUUAAUCCGUGCUCCGAGCACUCUUAGCCGACGCCCAACCCAAACGAGCACGCCUUAAAGCGAAAGGGAUCAGCCAA
rnacentral:lncRNA from 1 species